rnacentral:rRNA from 1 species
AGUGAACGCUGGCGGUAGGCCUAACACAUGCAAGUCGAACGGCAGCACAGUAAGAGCUUGCUCUUACGGGUGGCGAGUGGCGGACGGGUGAGGAAUACAUCGGAAUCUACUUUUUCGUGGGGGAUAACGUAGGGAAACUUACGCUAAUACCGCAUACGACCUACGGGUGAAAGCAGGGGAUCUUCGGACCUUGCGCGAUUGAAUGAGCCGAUGUCGGAUUAGCUAGUUGGCGGGGUAAAGGCCCACCAAGGCGACGAUCCGUAGCUGGUCUGAGAGGAUGAUCGGCCACACUGGAACGGGGACCCGGUCCAAACUCUUAGGGGAGGCAGAGGUGGGGAAUAUUGGCCAUGGGGCGAAAGCCUGACCCAGCAAUCCCGCGUGGGUGAGGAAGGCCUCCGGGUUGUAAAGCCUUUUUGUUGGGAAGAAAAGCAGCAGGUUAAUACCCCGCUGUUCUGACGGUACCCAAAGAAUAAGCACCGGCUAACUUCGUG